rnacentral:rRNA from 1 species
GCCAGAGGGGGCAAUCGUUGUCCGGAGUUACUGGGCGUAAAGGGCGCGGAGGCGGUCUGCGGCGUCGGCGCUGAAAGCGCCCCGCUUAACGGGGCGAGGCGUGCCGAUACGCGCAGACUUGAGGCGAGCAGAGGGUGGUGGAAUUCCGGGUGGAGCGGUGAAAUGCGUAGAGAUCCGGAGGAACGCCAGUGGGGAAGCCGGCCACCUGGGCUCGUCCUGACGCUGCGGCGCGACCGCGUGGGGAGAAAACCGG